rnacentral:tRNA from 1 species
CUCUCGAUGGCGCAGUUGGUAGCGCAUUGGACUGUAAUUGUAACUUCUUUUCAGAUCAUCCACAGGUCGUGUGUUCGAAUCACACUCGGGAGA